CAGCCUGGCCAACACUGGAUUCCAGCCUUGUGAUACCCUGAGCCGGGAACCUAGUCAUGCUGAGCUCUGGACCUACAGAACUGUGUGUUGGCUGACAUAAACAUCUAUGGCACCCUGAUGAGUUGAGGCUUUUAGAUAUCCAGAGGAUGAACCUGAGAAGAAGGAAAAACCGAAUCAUGGAGAGGGACACUUAGUCUAUUUUCCUACUACACCUAUUUUAUAAGAAAUGCUAAAGGGAAUCAUUCAAGCUGAAAUGAAAGGACACUAAUUAACAAGCUCUUGGAAGUACUGCUGGCAGACAACCCUCAGCUGUCAGCUCUUUUUGGGAAUUGCAUCAGCUGAAGAGAGCCAGACUGGCCCAAGAUCACACUCCUUCCUGGGACAGCCUGCAUCUAAUGAUUGGUGAUAUAAAGGUCCAGCUCCCCUCACCCCAACAUGAGACAACUCUGAGGGAUCAUUCCGGCUUUAGAGUUCCCUGUUGAGUUUAUUGAAACUGCAAUCACAAUCCAACUUCUCCCAUGGCCUCCAAUUCAAUUAUGAAAGACAGCGAAUGGAAGUGAUGGGAUGGCAGGCAUCCUUACACCUUAUUCCUGUUCUCAGAAGGAAAGCUUACGUUUCAUUGAGUAUGGUGGUCACUACAAGUAUCUUUUAGUUACCUCUUGUCAGAUAAGGAUGUUUUCUUCUAUUUCAAAUUUGUUUUAUUCUUAUUGCGAUUUCAAUCACAAAUGGGUUUGAAUUUUACCACAUACUUUGUUGAGCUGUCAUGAUUUUUCUCCUUGAGUAUGUUAAUGUGCUGAAUAUAUUAUUAUUUCUAGAAGGUUUCCACUUUACAUUUACUAAGGCAGUAGCUUUCGGUUGAACAAAAUGGAAAGAAUUUUAUAUUUAUCUUUAAGCUUCCCAUACAAAACUCAAUAUCUAUUUAGGUAUAUAAUAGAUAGAUAAUAGAUAUCACAUAUUGUUCACAAUGUAAGAUGUAUAAUAGAUAAUAGGUAUCAUAUAUUGUUCAUAAUGUAAAAUGAAGAUAUCUAGUUAAGGAUUCCAAUCAUCUUUAUAAUAUUUUAAACAAAUGUUUUAUAAGCAUAAAGUGAGUGUAAUAUAAAAUUGUUGACAUAAAACAAUCACCAGGAAGGCUUGCCACGGUUUUGUCCCAGGACAACUUCAAAUAUCAGAUAGUACAGUGUGGUGUUUAAAGAAAUAACAUCACUGUUUUUCAACCAUUGGCAUCAGUAUCAUCCACUCCAAAUAUGCCCUUCAAAAAUUGUUGAGUUCAAGAUGUUAUCUAAUAAGAAUUGAGUUUCUAGAAUACUAAAAUAUUAAAAAAUAAAAGUAUAAAAAGAGAAAGAAAAGUAUCCAGAUGUUCUUCUGGGAAGCAAAUGAGAAUUACUUGCCCUUCUAGAUUUAAAGUAUGUAUCUCUCUUUUUUAAUGGACUUAAUUAUUAAGUAUAUGAUAUACAUCUGUUUGAUUCUUAUCUAUUGAAGUUUUCUUUUAAACUAACUGUAAAUUCAUGGGAAUUUUUGCUUUAAAUCUAGCUUCAAUAAAUCUAUCAAAGAAAGAUAGAUAUUUUACCUACAUUCGUAUUUGUGAAAGUACAUAUGUUUUGCCUUCCUAAGCUUUACAGUAAAGGUUAUAAAAUUCCUGAAAAAAAAUUAUCCUUUACCUACAAAAUUUCUUUGUGAAAAGUUGCU